ACGAGCCCGGGGCCCGUCGGGCCCCGACCUCACAACCCACCUGUCGCGACACCGCGGUUGCCUCGGGGGUGGCCCCGCCCCGGCGAGGGCCCCCCCGGCGGACCACCACGAACCAGCGUGCGCCGAUGCCGUCGGAGAUGUUCUUUGGGAAUCGAACA
rnacentral:misc_RNA from 1 species